GCGCGUUUAGCUCAGCGGGAGAGCGCUUCCCUGACACGGAAGAGGUCACUGGUUCAAUCCCAGUAUCGCGCACAA
rnacentral:tRNA from 46 species